rnacentral:rRNA from 1 species
UACAUCCUACGGGGGGCAGCAGUGGGGAAUAUUGGACAAUGGGGGGAACCCUGAUCCAGCGACGCCGCGUGAGUGAAGAAGUAUUUCGGUAUGUAAAGCUCUAUCAGCAGGGAAGAAAGAAAUGACGGUACCUGACUAAGAAGCCCCGGCUAACUACGUGCCAGCAGCCGCGGUAAUACGUAGGGGGCAAGCGUUAUCCGGAUUUACUGGGUGUAAAGAGAGCGUAGACGGCAAUGCAAGUCUGGAGUGAAAGGCGGGGGCCCAACCCCCGGACUGCUCUGGAAACUGUAUAGCUGGAGUGCAGG